CCGUCACAACGGCUUCCUGGCGUGACGGCGUCAUUCGCACUGGAGCG
rnacentral:ncRNA from 1 species